GACAGAGGUGCCGAGCGUUAGGCGGAAUCACUGGGCUUAAAGCGUGUGUAGGCGGGUCGUUAAGUGUCCGUGUGAAAUCCCACCGCUCAACGGUGGAACCGCCGGGGCAUACUGGCGAUCUUGAGCAGUCCAGGGGCGAGCGGAACAAGCGGUGGAGCGGUGAAAUGCGUAGAUAUCGCUUGGAACGCCGACGGUGAAAACAGCUCGCUGGGGGACUCGCUGACGCUGGAGACACGAAAAGCCCAGGGGGAGCGAAACGGGG
rnacentral:rRNA from 1 species